CUAAACUGUAUUUCGUAAACAUACAGAACAUGAAGUCAGCCAUGCAGGCAUGGGCCCGUAGCUCCCAUCCCACCGCUGGGAGAGCGCACGGAACCUCUGGACGCGGGGUUACACGUAACACGGACUUUUUAUGACGAUGCACAGGGUCGAGCAGGGUGUACUUCCGGUGGGUUUUUGCAGCAGACGGUGCUCAGCUCAUGUCCCGGGAGUCCGGACGUGUUUUGGCGUUGAUCCGCGGCACAGACAGUUUCCUCGGCAUCUGCUGCAUGCAAAUUGCCUCUGGAGGAUCAAUAAAGUUUGAACUGAAGUGAAGAAGAAAAGGCCCGAGCGGCACGGAGGUCCCGGCGGCGUGCCUGCGGUCAGCUGACGCCCCCGACCUCCGGAUGUGAUGGAUUGGUUGUGAACCCGCCCCGCUCCACGUCCACGCCCCCCUGCUGGGAUGCUGUCAGUCAUGAUGCCUCAGCAGCUGCUGGUGUGUAAAGAAGAGGUUCCCCCUGAGCAGCAGGAGUGCA